rnacentral:sRNA from 1 species
ACCACAGAACAAAAUAGUGUAAACACAUGUACAUACAUAGAUCUAUCAUUCCACAAAGUUUGAUUGUUCAAGUCGUUACCAUUUUUGAGAUCUCGAGGAAUCAAGGAUUUUUGUCUCGGGACAGGAAAUGGACAAACGGAAGUGUUCGAUGAAAAUGAAAAAACAGAUGCAGACUCCGUUUUUCCCGGCCCUGCCUGUUCGGCCGGAGCGGUGGAUGUAAGAGUCGACGUCCUCGGGCGGAUUACACUGAAUGACCAGAUCCACUUCUGGAAUGUCCAGUCCUCGCGCUGCCACGUCCGUCGUUAACAGCACGUUAAACUUCCCUUCUCUGAAACUCUGAGGACAGAAAUUGGACUUGUAAAUAUUAUCGUAAUGAAAAACUAAGUGAAAGAGACAAAUGUUUUAAUUCAUAAGGUUGAUAGAUCCUGUAAUUAAAAGUCUAAUGAAUUUUUGGUGAAGUAUUUCUUACAACUAUACACACUCAGCUCAACUUGAAAUCAAAAUGAAAACUAGAGGAAAUGAUGCAUCUUAUAGUGCCAUUCCUCAGAAGGUUUAAAAUGAAGAAUCUCAAACUUAAGAAGAUUUUGUUAAAAUCUCAAAAUGAUAAGGAAUAACAAACAUUCAAUAAAAUGUGU